UACGUAGGUGGCAAGCGUUGUCCGGAAUUACUGGGCGUAAAGGGUGCGUAGGUGGUUUUUUAAGUCAGAAGUGAAAGGCUACGGCUCAACCGUAGUAAGCUUUUGAAACUAGAGAACUUGAGUGCAGGAGAGGAGAGUAGAAUUCCUAGUGUAGCGGUGAAAUGCGUAGAUAUUAGGAGGAAUACCAGUAGCGAAGGCGGCUCUCUGGACUGUAACUGACACUGAGGCACGAAAGCGUGGGGAGCAAACA
rnacentral:rRNA from 1 species